GUGUGAGUCAGCAGGAGGGUGGUAGACCUGCUGGGGGAGUCGGUGGCAGCCAGAUGAUGAGACCUACCUCAAGAAGCACUGUGUUUUUAAGUUUGGAAACAAAGCGCCAUCUCAGCGGUAGCUCCUGGGCUCCGGCUGUCCCAGCAGCCACCAUUUUUGAAGCGCGAUCUGUUUCUCUCGGUUCCUAGUGAUCUCUGUGCCUGCCAGAGCUCUGUGCAUGUGCCUGGGGUUCACAUUUUCAGACUCAGCAGUGUUGAUGAGACAGGAUCUGGAUAACCAGGACAAACAGUGCCAGCGGGGACCACCAACCCUGGGUAGACAUCCCCACGUUUGGCAGCGCGGCUAGCUGCUACGGAAGACCUGGUGUGGCAAGGACGAUUGAUUCCCAGGGUCAAGGCCAUAUGAGAAGCUGACAUGAGAAUGGUCCUGACCUCGGUGGACAACUGGCCUUACUGCUGAAUUGUGCUACUUUACAUGCAGAGCUGAGAAGCAGGACAUCCAGGCUUGGGAGGACAGCCAUGGCCCUCUGUAGGCUCGUGACUGCCCGGAACUCUCUGCAGUCUCCAUCUGCAAAAUUGAGUACUUGGUCCCAGUCAUAGCCUUGGCCACAGAGACACUCAAUGAUUCUGUUUAUGGAUUAUUAUUAGUGCGGUGUGGAAGUUGCAUUGUCCAGCAGUUUAAAUGUAAGUCACAUACGUUUGACAACAGACAGCUCAAACAUGGUUCUGUGUGGACAACCAGAUCUUUUGUGAAAGGAGAUGAUCGUUAUCCUUGAUGACAUAAGAAAACACAACCAGAGUCCUUGUUCAUAAUGUUAGGGUUUAACUGUUGUGUUACCCUGCUGUAAGGCUUUGUUUGUUAGCUUCUUUUAUCUUUUCCUUCUACUAGAUCCACUAGUGUGGGAAGCCAGGGCAGAGUAACAGUGUAACUACUCUGAUCCAAGGAAGGGUUCACACCAAUUCUUCUGGAGCCUCAGGGGUGAAGCGCCUUAGGCAUCUGAAGGGGAAAUGAGCGGGGGUUCCCUAAUUCCCCCACUGGCCACCCUGGGAAGCCUUUUUUCCUAUUUAAUUUUGCAUGUUGAGUUCACAUGGGAUUUGGCUGAAGAACAGAUUCCACUGCUUGACCAAAGCUGGCAAAGCACUGGUGGCGCCUGUCUUGAGUUUGCUGCCACGGGGCUGAGGUUACAGUGGGCGACCCAGGCCUGGGAGGAUGGCAGAGAGACUGAGAGGGGGUAUGAGAAGUAUCUCGAGUCCCUCUUUCUCUCCUGCUCCUGUCACUGCCAGCAGAGUGUUGCUCUUUGCCCAGUGGGGGCAGAGGGCGUCCUAUCUACACAAGCUCUGGAGUAAGACCAAGCCAUUGCAAAGCAGAAAAAAACGAAUCCUGGUGAGAGGAAUUUUUGCAGAGAAGAUUAUUUUGUGUGUGUAUGACUUUCUUUUCACAGUUUCAGUGUGUGUGUUUAAUAUAAUGUCUGAGUAAUGUAAAGUGGGAAGGUCUUAGGUGGUGAAGGGAUUGAUCAAUUGACGAGAAAAACCUGAGAAGAAUUCGAAUGAAGAAAUGCUUAUUGCACCAGCAAAGGUGCAAAGCAGUUGCUAGGAAAGAAUGUAUGAAAAAUGUUUGGGGCAGCUAUUUCAAUGUUUGGUUCAAUAAAUCAUUGACUAACAGCAAAUAAUAACAAUUUCUAAUAAAUAACAAAAUAAU